ACGAACGCUGGCGGCGGGCUUAAACCAUGCAAGUCGAACGGAAAGGCCCUGCUUUUGUGGGGUGCUCGGGGGGCGAACGGGGGAGUACCACGGGAGUAACCUGCCCUUGACUUUGGGAUAACUUCAGGAAACUGGGCCUAAUACCGGAAAGGGGCUCCUGCGGAUUGGGGGGGGUUGGAAAGUUUCGGCGGUUGGGGAUGGACUCGCGGCUUAUCAGCUUGUUGGUGGGGUGGUGGCUUACCAAGGCUUUGACGGGUAGCCGGCCUGAGAGGGUGACCGGCCACAUUGGGACUGAGAUACGGCCCAGACUCCUACGGGAGGCAGCAGUGGGGAAUAUUGCACAAUGGGCGGAAGCCUGAUGCAGCAACGCCGCGUGCGGGAUGACGGCCUUCGGGUUGUAAACCGCUUUCGCCUGUGACGAAGCGUGAGUGACGGUAAUGGGUAAAGAAGCACCGGCUAACUACGUG
rnacentral:rRNA from 1 species